rnacentral:lncRNA from 1 species
AAACCCAUGUACCAUCGGAGAGCGGCACUGGACAGACUGUCCUGGAAAUAAUGGAUGAGCAGUUGGUCAUUAUCAGUUUGCGUCGACAUCUUACGAGCAUACAUCACAAGAUGACUGAGAGGGCAUGUGUUUCCCCUAUACUUCUCAAAGUCAAGCACUUUGAAUUUAAUAGGGAUCUUCACGUUGGGUACAAGGCACAACUCAGCAGCACUUUU